UACGUAGGGUCCAAGCGUUAUCCGGAAUCACUGGGCGUAAAGCGUGCGUAGGCGGGAAUUUAAGUGUGAUGUUAAAUCGUGUGGCUCAACCAUAUCGAUGCAUUGCAUACUGGAUACCUGGAGGAAGGCAGAGGCAAGUGGAACUAGGUAGUGUAGCAGUGAAAUGCGUAGAUAUGCGGAGGAACACCGAUGGCGAAGGCAAUCCCCUGGGCCUGCACUGACGCUCAUGCAC
rnacentral:rRNA from 1 species